GAUGAACGCUGGCGGCGUGCCUGAUACAUGCAAGUCGAGCGAACAGACGAGGAGCUUGCUCCUCUGACGUUAGCGGCGGACGGGUGAGUAACACGUGGAUAACCUACCUAUAAGACUGGGAUAACUUCGGGAAACCGGAGCUAAUACCGGAUAAUAUAUUGAACCGCAUGGUUCAAUAGUGAAAGACGGUUUUGCUGUCACUUAUAGAUGGAUCCGCGCCGCAUUAGCUAGUUGGUAAGGUAACGGCUUACCAAGGCAACGAUGCGUAGCCGACCUGAGAGGGUGAUCGGCCACACUGGAACUGAGACACGGUCCAGACUCCUACGGGAGGCAGCAGUAGGGAAUCUUCCGCAAUGGGCGAAAGCCUGACGGAGCAACGCCGCGUGAGUGAUGAAGGUCUUCGGAUCGUAAAACUCUGUUAUUAGGGAAGAACAAAUGUGUAAGUAACUAUGCACGUCUUGACGGCACCUAAUCAGAAAGCCACGGCUAACUACGUG
rnacentral:rRNA from 1 species